UACGGGGGGGGCAAGCGUUGUUCGGAAUUACUGGGCGUAAAGGGCGCGUAGGCGGCUUUUCAAGUCGGGCGUGAAAGCUCCGGGCUUAACCCGGAAAUGUCGCUCGAUACUGUUGAGCUAGAGUGUGGAAGAGGCUACUGGAAUUCCGUGUGUAGCGGUGAAAUGCGUAGAUAUACGGAGGAACACCAGCGGCGAAGGCGGGUAGCUAGGCCAACACUGACGCUGAGGCGCGAAAGCUAGGGGAGCAAACGGG
rnacentral:rRNA from 1 species